AUCUCGUUGAACUUCAAAACGUGCCAACUUGACUUUGACAGCUUGGUUUUGGUUUUACAAAUAAGAGCGAUCCUCCUCUGCCGUUUUCCUUGUUACUCUCUCACUCCCUCCCUCCCUCGUUCUCUUCGCUCUCUUCCACUACAUUAGCUCUCCACAUUCCAAACACCCUUGCUUUUACUUGAAGUUGAAAAAACUUGGAAAUCUCCGCGUUUCAUGGACUCUAUCUCGCAUUCUGCGAUCGCCGCCCCCAAAUUCACUUCUCUCCUGCGCACCAAACCUUCCCUUCACUGUCAUCGUUCCCAUGGCUUCUCCUUCCCCAAUUCUCGCGUUCCGAGGUUCAGGUCAAGUAGAAUCCCCAAGCGGAGUGGUGUAUUCGCGAAAAUUUGGAAGCAGAGUCCCGCGAUUGAUUUCAGUGAUCCUGAUUGGAAAAUCAAGUACCAGGCGGAUUUUCAACGGAGAUUUAAUAUCCCUCAUAUCACUGAUAUAUUUCCUGAUGCUGCGCCUAUUCCCUCUACAUUCUGUCUCAAGAUGAGGACUCCGGUGUCGGAGGAUUUUGCUGGUGGUUAUCCAUCUGAUGAGGAGUGGCAUGGCUACAUUAACAAUAAUGACAGGGUGCUUUUGAAGGUCAUACAUUUCUCGUCUCCGACAUCUGCUGGAGCUGAGUGCAUUGAUCCUGAUUGUACUUGGGUUGAACAAUGGGUUCAUCGUGCUGGGCCUCGGGAGAAAAUAUACUUCAAACCUGAAGAAGUGAAGGCAGCAAUUGUAACUUGUGGUGGUUUAUGCCCUGUUCACAAUGAUGUCAUCAGACAGAUUGUCAUCACACUUGAAAUAUAUGGUGUCAAAAAGAUAGUUGGGAUUCCUUUUGGUUAUCGAGGAUUUUCUGACAAUGAUUUGAGUGAAAUGCCGCUAUCAAGGAAAGUAGUUCAAAAUAUUCAUCUUUCUGGUGGAAGCUUGUUAGGAGUUUCACGUGGAGGACCGAGUGUUAGUGACAUGGUGGACAGAAUGGAGGAAAACGGAAUCAACAUGCUUUUUGUGUUAGGUGGGAAUGGUACACAUGCUGGAGCUAAUGCAAUACACUAUGAGUGCCGUAAACGAAGGUUGAAAGUGGCUGUAGUUGGUGUUCCAAAAACUAUAGACAACGAUAUUUUGUUGAUGGAUAAAACUUUUGGUUUUGACACUGCUGUUGAAGAAGCACAGCGAGCAAUAAAUUCUGCAUACAUUGAGGCACAUAGCGCUUAUCAUGGUAUUGGAGUUGUGAAAUUGAUGGGUCGUAGCAGUGGAUUUAUAGCCAUGCAUGCAGCCCUAGCUAGUGGACAAAUUGACAAAUUUUUUAUUCCCGAGGUAUUUAUACUUGCUAACAAAUAAAUAUCCAUUAUUGUGGACCUAUAUUAAUUUAAUUAGUGUAUACAUUUUUUAAGGUACCAUUUCAUUUACAUGGGCCUCAUGGUGUUUUGAGGCAUUUGAAAUACCUAAUUGAAACAAAGGGAUCAGCUGUGGUUUGUGUAGCAGAGGGAGCUGGACAGAAUUUCCUGGAGAAAACUAUUGCUACUGAUGCACCCGGAAACAUUGUGCUUGGAGACAUUGGGGUGCACAUUCAACAAGAGACAAAAAAAUAUUUUAAGGAGAUUGGUGUUCAUGUUGAUGUGAAGUAUAUUGAUCCAACAUACAUGAUCCGUGCAUGUCGUGCAAAUGCAUCAGAUGGAAUCUUAUGUACUGUUCUUGGACAAAAUGCCGUCCAUGGUGCAUUUGCCGGAUAUAGCGGAAUUACUGUAGGAAUAUGCAACACUCACUACGUCUACUUUCCCAUUCCUGAAGUUAUUUCUCAUCCCAGGGCUGUAGACCCUAACAGCCGGAUGUGGCAUCGUUGCUUGACUUCGACAGGCCAGCCUGACUUUAUCUAAAUUGCCUAAGCCUUCUAAUUUAUGCUAAAGAAUUAAGAAAUCAAAGUUUCAAAAAGUUCAUUAAUGGACAUAAUACCAGCUUUAGAAGAUUAGCACUUAGCUAGAGACUUUUCAUCAUCAUAGGCUGUUGAAAUAAUACAGAGGAUGAAAUUUCCUCUAUAUGAGAAAAUUAUUCAGUGCCAGUUUUCGAAAUCACAAGGCACCAUAGUAAUAAAAUGUUACAGGAAUCACCCAAGCAAUUUGUGCUUGACACAUGAAUUCUGAUUGCACUAUUUAAUGUGUCAUUACCUAUUUUUGUACAUCAAAAUUUUUGCAGUUCACCAUGUGAACGAGACUACACUGUCUGUAUCUGUAAAACUUAAGACAUGAUUCAAGAUGAUUGCUUGGGUCGGAUCUGCUGUAAUUAAAGUCCUGGAAGACCACCAAUUGGAAUUAAUACACACAUUCAUAUGGUGAAUAUUUUGUACUGCAGUAGUCGCUGUAACCUUCUAAAAGCAGCAGUGAAUUUGACCACACCCCCCUCCCCUCAGCCCCAAGAUGAAGGAUUGGUCAAUGACUGGUACGCAUGGUAUCUAAAGUUAUGCCGAUGUGUUUCUUAUCUCUUUGACCUUUCGGCAUGUGAAGCUUGCAACUUCACUUUUGGUUAAAAGGCGUGCCCUUCGGCGCCGAGGGGAGAAGAAAAUUCUCUAUUAAUUGAAACUCCACAGACAACCUAUAAUUUCACGAUGAAGUUUGUAUCAGCUGGUAGAAUAUGAUCCAUGAUGAACUCGAAUGUUAUUUGGAAUAAAGCUCAAUUCUGUC